rfam:Fonticula alba strain ATCC 38817 unplaced genomic scaffold supercont2.3, whole genome shotgun sequence.
GGGGGCGUAGCUCAAAUGGUAGAGCGGCCGCUUAGCAUGCGGCAGGCAGGGGGAUCGAUACCCUCCGCCUCCA